rnacentral:lncRNA from 1 species
AUUUUUUUAAAUUGCAUUCUUCAGUACCUAGAUUAAUACAGGAGUUAUAAACCGCACGCAUGGCUAUAAUGGGGGCUCCUAUUACGGAACAGGAAUUUGCUACUACUAAAAUUAUGUAGGCAUGGUUAAAGCCAGAAUUGUUACAACCAGAAAUCGCAAACUGGAAUAACUCUCAACUUGCUACGGUAAGAAAUAACUAAACUCUGACUUGGUCAGACUAAGAAAUCAGGAGUUUGAGACCAGCCCAGGCAACAUGGCGAAAUCCUGUCUCUAGGAAGGAUACAAAAAAUUACCCGGGCGUGGUGGCGCGUGCCUGUGGUCCCAGCUACCCCGGAGGCUGGGGUGGGAGGAUCGCUUCAGCCCGGGAGGCGGAGGUUGCAGUGAGCCGAGAUCGCGGCACUGCACUCCAGCCUGGGCGACAGAGCCGGACCCCGUAUCAAGAAAGAAAGAGAAAAGAAAAAGAACCAAAGAAAAAGAAAAGUCACCAUCGCACGGUUAAGUCUGCCUUGCUACAGCUAAACAGUGACUUCCUAGGACCAAGAAAUCGCAGCCAGGGCUAGACCGAUGCCCUAAAUCGGGACUUGCUUAGGCUGAGAAAUCACAUUUUGGCUAGUUAUUUGGACAAGAGGUAGAAAUAGCGGGCACCGCGAAAUCGAAACUUGCUAGGACCAAGAAGCCAACGACGGGCGAAACCGCAGGGGCCUGCGAUAGAGACGCCAGCGGCGCCGCCGGGGGACUGGGUUCAGGAGGCCGAGCAGGAACCCGUGCGUCGGCGCUCGCGGCGCUGUGAAGAGACGGCGUCCGCGCAGCUCCUCUGCCUCUGGCUCGGAGGAGCGGCGGGCUCCCCCGCCCAGCGCCGGCGUCGCCCGGGAACCCCAGACUCUGCGCAACUGGCUGCGAUUCCAAAUCCCUCAGAUCGGCUACCAGAGCGCUGCCGCCACCGAGAAAAUGGAGGCACCGAGGAACAAGAUGUGCCGCGACCAAGAGAACUCGGCUUGGCGAAAUGGCGGUGCUGGGACCCUAAGAGUGACGCCAGCCGGAGGAGUUCCCAAGGACAACAUCCAUUUUGGCGGAACCAACGGUGUUGUCACGCAGAAAAUGUCGACCCUCGGAAAAGAGAGGUUCUGCGACCGAGAAAUUCGGUGCAACAAGUGCUGUGACAGAAAACCCCCCGCUCGGCGCUGCUGGCGAAAGAGCCAACAAAACGCUGGGUGCUGCCACCGUGACACCGACUUUAGGACCCCGGCCUCGGAUGGAGAAAGGAGGGUACGGAGCCACCACAUAACUUCCUAAUGUCUUCAAAUAGCGAAAGUGCUAGCCGGAAACUGCCGGCUGGGUUUACCUAUUGGUGCUCGUGUGGGACUAGCAGAUUCGAGAAACCAGCGGGACUGGAACCUAGUACACUUCGGCAGUUGAGAAAUGACUUACCAGGACAAAUACUGCUUCUGGCUCGAUGGUGCUGCCCAUGAACAUCCGCCGGCUCUGAGAAACGAGCUGCACUGUCAGUGAGAAACCGUGGGCACUGAGAAACGAGCGGACUGCAACUGAUAACUGCCCACCCAGUGCCACUACGACAAAGUGCUGCUGGCACUACUCCCACCCUCCGUCCUCAAAUCAGUCCCCUCCCGCCUAAGAAGACCUUUAUUUUUCCUAGCGAAGUCAUACUGAGGGCCCCAUCAACCGAUCCCUUGCGAUGCGCAUGGGAAAAGGAGGCAGUAUAGGGACCGAGAAUCGGGCGGAUUGGGCUGGCCCUGGUAACAAAAGCCAUCCGGGUCGCCAACCGUCUUCCACUGCAAGAAACAAACCUUCCAGUGGCUGGGCUCCGCCCUUCUCCUUGGUCAGAGCCCUCCAGGCUCCUAAGGGCGAAGCCGACACCUCAUCCCUUUGGAACUUGAAGUUCUCAGUCCAAGACCUCCGUGGAGAGUGAAAGACUCAAUGCCUCCUGACCGAGGCUUCAGGCCUGCCCCGGCAGCUAGGAAACCUGAAACUGCCAUUGAGCAGAAGGAAAACAUCCCUUUCCAGAACCUUUCUCGUUUUUCUAAAAAUCUGCACUUUUGGAAGUGAUCCCCCAAAGAGACCUCCAGACUCUACCAUGAGUGUCUCCAGCUGAACUCAUCGUGUCUAAUCCUCACCCUAGCUUAUCCUGUUCAAAUCAUUUCCAUCUUUUUCUGGAUGAACCUGGGCGGAUGUCAGACCAGAGAAGAGCACAGAAUGUACCAGAGAGAGUCUUGCUCUGUCACCCAGGCUGAAGUGCACCCAGGCUGAAGUUGGAGGCUAUGGUGAGCUGCACCACUACACCACUAUGGGAGGCCGAGGCGAGUGGAUUGCCUGAGCUCAGGAGUUCGAGACCAGCCUGGGCAACGUUGUGAAACCCCGUCUCUACUAAAACACAAAAAAUUAGCCAGGCCUGGCGGCAUGUGCCUAUAGUCCCAGCUACUCAGGAGGCUGAGGCAGGAGAAUUGCUUGAACCCGGGAGCUGGAGGUUGCAGUGAGCCGAGAUUGCGCCACUGCACUCCAGCCUCGGUGACAGAGUGAGACUCCGUCUCAAAAAAAAACAAUAUAAGGUGAAGGCCAAGCAGGGUGGCACAUACCUGUUGUCUCACCUACUCAAAAGGCUGAGGCCAGAGGAGGAUUGCUGGAAGUGAGUUCAAAGCCAGCCUAGAGAAUAUAUUGAGACUCUGUCUCUAAAUUUUAUAUAUAUAUGGUGAAUUCACCUUUACCAUAUCUUUUAUGUAUAAGCAAUGGGAUUGAUUAGCAAGUAAUGGGACUCUGAAAUCAAAGGGGUAAAUUUGGGUAGAUCUUUAUAAAUAUAAUAACCUUGAACCCCACAAAUCUCUCUAAGCGUCCUUUAAAAAAUAGACUUUCUGUCUGAGUAGGUGAGUCCUUUUUUUUGUUUGAAGAUACUAGAAAGCUCUUACUUGAGACAGCUCCUAAAAGAAUGUCAAUUCAACAGAAGUCUCAUAGCCAGUAUAACUAAUUCUAACCCCCUAACUAGAGUCAGAUACUAGGAUACCCCUAAGGGACAACAAUGAAAUCUGAAUUUGGGUGUCAUUGCUUACAUAUCAAAACAGUUGCAAGAGACAGUUAAUUUAUAUUUGCAGAAACCAUAUGAAUUUGUAUGAAAAUGAUUUUUUAAAGUGCUAUAUCAAGAAAACUAGAACAUAAUGCAGAACAAAUAAAAUUUACUUAUAUGGGUGCCAAGAAUAGAAAUUCUGGGUUCCGCAUACAUCAGCAUCUAGAAGAAUCUGCAGUAGGUAUGGAUGGUUGAUUGAGGCCUUUAUUCAAUGGUAGUCUACAAAGAAUAAGACAGAAGUAAGAACUUUCCUGUUAAAAUGGAAAGAUAGAGUAAACAAGUUUAGGAAUAUCUCAUAAGCCACUGAUUCCAUUCUUAGGUCUAUAUCCAAGGGAAAUUCUUGCACAUGCACACAAGGAAACAUGGAAGAGAAUGUCCAUAUAUGUACUGUUCACAGUAACAAAAAUUUGCUGAGGAGGAAGGAACUAAAACUCCAACAAUAGGAGAGCGGAUAGAAAGGAACAUAUUAUAUUCACAGAACGGAAUAUUUUACAAAAAUCAGAAUAAACUACAACAUUACUCAAAAUCAUGGCUGCAUUAUAGCAACAUAAUAUUCAGAGAAAAAGUUUAAAAGACUACAUAGAACUGUCAAUUGAGGAAAAUGACAAGAUAAGUCUCAAUCAUUUUAGGAGGUUUAUUUGCCAAAGUUAAGGACAUGCCUGGGAGACAGGUCUAUGCCUUUCUCUGAUGAUGAUUUUGAGGGCUCCAAAUUUAAAGGGGAAAGGGCAGGAUAUUGAGAAGCGCACAGUUUUCACAUAAACCAAAGGGGCAGAGGAAAAAUAUGGGGAAUCUGCAUUUUACAUAAGAUAACAGACAAAAUGGGGUAGAGGGAACAAUCAGAUAUGCAUUUGUGUCUGGCGAGCAGGGUGACUGCACAUGUAAAGAUAAGCUAUCAAUUUGCAUUGCCAUGGUGAAGUUUUAACAGCUCACCAGGAAUUUCCCUGUGGGCAAAAUAUGGGAGAGGCAUGUAGCUUUUCAUCUUGUAGCCAUCUUAUUUAGGAAUCAAAAGCGGGAGGCAGGUUUGUGUGACCCAGUUCCCAGCUUAACUUUUCCCUUUGGCUAAAUGAGUUUGGGGUCCCAAAGUUUAAUUUCCCUUCACAGAACACAGUUUUAUUUUAUAAAAUUAACAAAAACACACAAUAUGUAGAUACAUAUUGAUAAAAAUAAAACUAUGUAAAAAGGUAAACAACAGAAUAUUCAAUUUAGUAAUAAAAUAACCAACUGUGGAUGGUUAUCUUGAAUUGAAGGGUUGGAAAUAAGGGAUACAGGAAAAUCACACACAAUAAACUAAAUUGGAAGAUGGGCCUAAUGCUAA